rnacentral:lncRNA from 1 species
AGAAAUUUGGUAAGCGGCGGAGAAAGCCACCCUCCCUCACAGGACCGCUUGCUUGUCAAUAGAUAAACAUUUAAAGCUGUCUUCUUCGCCACCUUCACUCUUCCACCUUCAUAAGUAAUUUUUUAAUGCAUGCUUUUUGUAUUAUCAUGCGUAAUUUUAUAAAUUGACUAUUUUCUUUUUAUGUAUUAGUAUUCGAACCCAGCG